AAUGAUGCGAACAAGAAGAAUAGCUCCUUUGCUCGGAUUUGCAGGAUUAGCAGGGUUUGGUGUUGGGGUCGCUGGAAUGUCUGUUAACAAGGAGGAGCUGAACUCUGUUGCUAAGCCCACUACUGCACUUGUGAUUGGUGGAGGUAUUAUGGGCCUCUCUACCUCCUUACAGUUGGCUGAGAGAGGAGUGCAAGUAACUCUACUAGAAGUUAAUCCUUUACCGGCUCAGGUUGCGUCCUACUACAAUGGAGCUAUUAUCUGUAACUCUAUGGCAGCAAGCUGGGCAAGUGCGACCUUAAUAGCAAAAAACCCUGGAGAAUUGAAAACGAUGAAAGUAGGAUUUGAAUCGUGGACAGAUCCUAACUUUUAUAGAUGGUGUGCGUGGUUCUGGAUGAACAGCUUGUGGCCGGGCCGAGCAGAGUUUAAUCAUCAAUCUCAACGCCUUCUCUCAUACUUCAGCUACAAUCUAUUUAGAUCAAUGCAAGAGGAAAAAGCAAAGUACGGAGACAAACUGUUUAUGAAUGAGACAGCUAAAGAAACCAUAAAGCUGUUUUACAAUGCGGAAGAAAUGAAUGAAUUUCUGAGUUCAAACCAGGCAAAGUUCUGGGCUGAACAUGGUUUGGGAUUUAGACAAAUAUCAGCUCAAGAUUGCAUUCAACUAGAACCUGGCUUAAGAAAUGUUUGCCAAACUGAUGGUAUUGUUGGAGGAGUGGUUUGUCCGUCUGAUUCUAGCGGGGAUAUUGGUGUAUAUUGCUCAAAUCUAGAAAAGCUCUGCAAAGAACUGGGAGUAAAGAUUAUGUACAACUCUGGGGUGGAGAAACUUAUAAAACGAGAUGAACAGAUUGUAAGCGCACAGCUCAGUAAUGGACAGACUAUGAGUGCAGACGUGUAUGUUCUAUGUGUGGGGGUUGGAUCUAAACAACUUGGUGAAACUGUUGGAAUAAAUCUACCAGUCUAUCCAUUAAAGGGUCAUCUUGCAACCAUACAUUCUAACCCCGACUAUCCUUCACUUACCAGGAAUAUUCUAGAUACAAGAUAUGGACUCAUCAGUCCCCUGAACCCUACUAGUAUACGGCUAUCUGGAAGGGUUGAGGCAGUUGGAUAUAAUUAUGCUGUGGAACCAGAGAAGGGAAAACAACUAGCUGCAGCGGUAAAAAUGGUUUUUAAACCCAAUUUUCUCCGUACUGAUGAGGCAACCUAUCACUCUUGCUUGAGACCAGUUAGUGGCGACGACUUAGCAAUAAUUGGUCAGACAAAAAUACAAAACCUCUUUGUUAAUACAGGCCAUGGGAGUAAUGGCUGGACCUUUAGCUAGGGAUCAUCUAAGCUAAUUGCCCAGAUAAUUUGCGGAGAGGAGACUAAUUUAGACCCAACAAGAUUUUCUCCCUUGAGAUUCCAUCCUUUCCGUGGAUAUCUGGGCUAACCAUAGUUC
rnacentral:misc_RNA from 1 species